rnacentral:lncRNA from 1 species
CGAGCCAGGCGCCGAGGGGCUCUUCGCCGGCGGGGAGGACGGCGGAAGGCGCGGCNAGGUCCGGGUCGGGGCCGGCGGCGCCGGAGAGGCGCGCGACGAGGGACGCGCCCCCGCGCCGGCCCCACGCGUAGUGCUGCACGCCGCAGCGCAGCCGCAGCAGGCCUGUCAGCGGCGUCGGCGGGUCGGCGGGCGUGGGGGAGGCGUCGGCCGCCGGCUUGUCGCGCGGCGGGGACGCGCUGGCCGGCGCCGGCGAGGUGGGUGCGCCCAUGCUCUGCUCUGCUCUGCUCGGCUCGGCUCGGGGCGGCGGUUCUGUCUGGUGCNNNNN